rnacentral:rRNA from 1 species
UACGUAGGGUGCAAGCGUUAAUCGGAAUUACUGGGCGUAAAGCGCGCGUAGGCGGCUUUGCAAGUCGGGUGUGAAAUCCCCAGGCUUAACCUGGGAACUGCAUUCGAGACUGCAUUGCUAGAGUAUGGGGAGAGGGAAGUGGAAUUUCCGGUGUAGCGGUGAAAUGCGUAGAUAUCAGGAGGAACACCGGUGGCGAAGGCGGCCCUCUGGACGGAUACUGACGCUGAGACGCGACAGCGUGGGGAGCAAACAGGG